GUGCCAGCCGCCGCGGUAAUACAGAGGGUGCUAGCGUUGUUCGGAAUUAUUGGGCGUAAAGCGCGUGUAGGCGGCCUUGUAAGUUGGGUGUGAAAGCCCUCGGCUUAACCGAGGAAGUGCGCCCAAAACUGCUCGGCUUGAGUACCGGAGAGGGUGGCGGAAUUCCCGGUGUAGAGGUGAAAUUCGUAGAUAUCGGGAGGAACACCAGUGGCGAAGGCGGCCACCUGGACGGCUACUGACGCUGAGACGCGAAAGCGUGGGGAGCAAACAGGAUUAGAUACCCUGGUAGUCCACGCUGUAAACGAUGAGCGCUAGGUGUUGUGGGUGUUGACCCCUGCAGUGCCGAAGCUAACGCAUUAAGCGCUCCGCCUGGGAAGUACGGCCGCAAGGCUAAA
rnacentral:rRNA from 1 species